UACGUAGGGUGCAAGCGUUGUCCGGAAUUAUUGGGCGUAAAGAGCUCGUAGGUGGUUCGGUAAGUCGGGUGUGAAACCUCCAGGCUCAACCUGGAGACGCCACCCGAUACUGCUGUGACUGGAGUCCGGUAGGGGAGCGUGGAAUUCCUGGUGUAGCGGUGAAAUUCGUAGAUAUCAAGCGGAACACCGGUGGCGAAGGCGGCCUUCUGGACAGUGACUGACGCUGGAGACGCGAAAGCGUGGGGAGCAAACAGG
rnacentral:rRNA from 1 species